rnacentral:rRNA from 1 species
UACGGAGGGCGCGAGCGUUGUUCGGAAUCACUGGGCGUAAAGCGCGUGCAGGCGGCUGGGCAAGUCGGGUGUGAAAUCCCGUGGCUCAACCUCGGAACUGCACUCGAAACUCCCUGGCUCGAGUCCCGGAGAGGGUGGCGGAAUUCCCGGUGUAGGGGUGAAAUCCGUAGAGAUCGGGAGGAACACCAGUGGCGAAGGCGGCCAGCUGGACGGUGACUGACGAUGAGACGCGAAAGCGUGGGGAGCAAACAGG